CAGCCGCCACGGUAAUACAGAGGAUGCAAGCGUUAUCCGGAAUGAUUGGGCGUAAAGCGUCUGUAGGUGGCUUUUCAAGUCCGCCGUCAAAUCCCCGGGCUUAACCUGGGAACUGCGCUUGUGACUGCACAGCUAGAGUAUGGCAGAGGGGGGUGGAAUUCCACGUGUAGCAGUGAAAUGCGUAGAGAUGUGGAGGAACACCGAUGGCGAAGGCAGCCCCCUGGGCCAAUACUGACGCUCAUGCACGAAAGCGUGGGGAGCAAACAGGAUUAGAUACCCCAGUAGUCCCUGUCUCUUAUAC
rnacentral:rRNA from 1 species